rnacentral:tRNA from 1 species
GAAGGUAUAACUCACUGGUAGAGUGCAUGCUUAGCAUGCAUAAGAUUCUGGGUUCAAUCCCCAAUAACUCCA